rnacentral:rRNA from 1 species
UACGAAGGGGGCUAGCGUUGCUCGGAAUCACUGGGCGUAAAGCGCACGUAGGCGGACUCUUAAGUCGGUGGUGAAAUCCUGGAGCUCAACUCCAGAACUGCCUUUGAUACUGGUAGUCUUGAGUUCGAGAGAGGUGAGUGGAAUUCCGAGUGUAGAGGUGAAAUUCGUAGAUAUUCGGAGGAACACCAGUGGCGAAGGCGGCUCACUGGCUCGACACUGACACUGAGAGACGAAAGCUAGGGGAGCGAAUGGG